GACGAACGCUGGCGGCGUGCUUAACACAUGCAAGUCGAACGAAGUGGCGAACGGGUGAGUAACGUGUAGUCAACCUGCCCUUCAGAGGGGGAAAACAGUUGGAAACGACUGCUAAUACCGCAUACUGAAGGACGGGGUCGCGUCUGAUUAGCUCGUUGGGGGGGUCACGGCCCACCCAGGUGAUGAUGAGUAGCCGGGCUGAGAGGAUGAACGGCCACAUUUGGACUGGGACACGGGCCAGACUCCUACGGGAGGCAGCAGUGGGGAAUCUUCCGCAAUGGACGAAAGGCUGACGGAGCAACGCCGCGUGAGUGAUGACGGCCUUCGGGUUGGAAAGCUCUGUUAAUCGGGACGCGGUACCGGAAUAGAAAGCCACGGCUAACUACGUGCCAGCAGCCGCGGUAAUAC
rnacentral:rRNA from 1 species